ACAAAUUGCAGUCUGAGAAUAUUCCACUCACAGCAUGAACAUACUAAAGUACACCGCCUGCGGCUGCAGUCUGUUCUCAACGUCGAGAUAUGAAUCACAGUCUGACAAGGUUAAAGUUUCACUCAGGUUGCCAACACUGUGGACAGCCAGCUUCCUGACCAUCAGUUUGAAAACUGCUCCUACUUCUUCUCUUCACUCUUGCUUCACAGCCUCCUGGGACAGUGUAAUUAACCAGAAUGUAGAGAGGUCAAAUCCAAAUUCCACAGCUGUCAGCAAGCCUUUUAACCCUCAGCUGUGAUCUCUCUGCUUGGAUUGGAUUCUUCCUUGCUUCUGGAAGUCUAACCUCAGCCUUCUAGUGGGUAUAAUAAUUUCUGAAUGUUGCACAUCAAGGCUUGAGAGUAUAUAGCCUAAUGGUGAUGAAAAUAAUAUGAAGAUUUCCAAACAUAACCUUUCCAUUAAAGGUAAGUAAAUGCUACAGAAAAUGUUUAUGUCG